rnacentral:rRNA from 1 species
GGAUUGAACGCUGGCGGCAUGCCUAACACAUGCAAGUCGAACGGGAGUAGCAAUACUCUAGUGGCGGACGGGUGAGGAAUACGUAGGAAUUUGCCCUUAAGUGGGGGAUAACCCGGGGAAACCCGGAUUAAUACCGCAUGACCUCGAAAGAGCAAAGUGGGGGAUCGCAAGACCUCACGCUUUUGGAGAAGCCUACGUCGGAUUAGCUAGUUGGCGAGGUAAUGGCUCACCAAGGCGACGAUCCGUAACUGGUCUGAGAGGAUGAUCAGUCACACCGGAACUGAGACACGGUCCGGACUCCUACGGGAGGCAGCAGUGGGGAAUAUUGGACAAUGGGCGCAAGCCUGAUCCAGCAAUGCCGCGUGUGUGAAGAA